GAGACUGAGAAAUAGCAGCUCUAGAGACAUCACAAGCUGUAGACGUUGCCUCAUUAUUCCCAAGAGUUUCAGGAGAGAAGUACUUCUUCCUGUGCUUCGAAUAGAUAAAAUACUGACCUGCUGGAAGUGAGAAACAUAUUUUUUAAUGUCUUGAAGCUUUUAUGCUUUUUUUUUUUACCUUGCUUAGGAUGGAGAAAAAUGAGGAACAGAGCAUACAACGUGCCUGAUGGAAUACAGUCCCCGAUGUUGAUCACACAGCUCACUACAUCCUUUUGAGCCAAGAAGAGAAGUGGGGUGGAUUCUUCUACUCAGUUUCUGGUGAAAGAAGAGCAAAGCAGUCAAGCGAUUACUCAAAAGUACCAGAGAAAAUUAGUGAUGGUGUUGAAGCAAUUUCACAUUCAAAAUGAAGGGACCCAAUGCCCCAAAAGACAAGAACUCUUUCUGGGGAUCUAACAGCACAACGGAAAUGAAGGCGGAUGUGUCCCACUGUUCCCCAGCAGGCUUCCUCAUCAGGGACCUGAGAGGAAGGUCAGGAGAGCUGGAUGUGUAUGGGAGCCUCAUCUGGAACUUUCCUCUUCUGUGGAAGGCCUGAAGCUUUGUCCUCCCCGUCCCUGAUGCCUCUUUCUCAGCCUGAGUAGAAGGUAUUACUCCUCUGUUCUUGUGCUCUGUGAAAGUUUUGUUCUUGCUACACAAACAGAUGUCAUCAUGUAAGCGUUCUACCUUGACACUCCC
rnacentral:lncRNA from 1 species